CUCUCAGACCAAAAAUAUGCGACUAUUUGAUAAAAGAGAAAAAAGCACAAGUUACCUAAGUAUACACAUUAAAACCCUACUUUUCCAAAUUCAACUGUAUCCACAAAACUUUAACUAUGGAUUCCAUAAAUAUAUACAUCAAAAACUCUGCUUUUCCAAACUCAAUUGCAUCAAUAAACCUAUGUAAUAUCAUUCAUACAAGUAAGGUGGG
rnacentral:lncRNA from 1 species